rnacentral:lncRNA from 1 species
UCGGGGUUUAUUCCGGAUAUUUGGUUAUUUUGUUGGGGUUCGUUCUGAUAACCUUUGUCUUUGGUGUUCGCUGGUUAGCGAUUGCUAUUGUUGGGAGUCGGAUGUAAGUCCAUGUAUUGGCAUUCUGUUUCCUUCUGUUUGUUGUUGUUAAGAGUCAGGUGUAAGUCCAUGUAUUGGCAUUCUGUUUCCUUUAGUUUGUUGUUGUUGGGCGUCAGGUGUAAGUCCAUGUAUUGGCAUUCUGUUUCCUUUUGUUUGGUUAUUGUUGGGAGUCGGGUGUAAGUUCAUGUAUUGGCAUUCUGUUUCCUGUUUGUUGUUGUGGGGAGUCGGGUGUAAGUCCAUGUAUUGGCAUUCUGUUUCCUUUUGGGUGUGUCUUUUGACGUCUCAACGUCCCUUUUUGGUGUCUUGUUUCGGCGUGCGUUAGCCGAGCUACGAGUGCUCUGAUUCUCCUCUGGAUAGAGAAGAUACGUAGGCAUAAGACGCGAUGUCUUAGCGAGCAUGUCUCCUUUUCCCCGAACUACAUUGACUCUGAUGUUUGUUUCUGACAAACUACGUAGGCCCAGGAUGCGACAUCCUGCCGAGUCCACUUCCUCCGUCUUUUU